CAUACAGUGGGUCUAUCAGAGCUGCUGAAAACACACAGAGGUGUGGGAGUGAACUAAAAUAGUAAAGUUUAUGACCAAAAAAGCCAAAACAAUAAGCUGAAAGACACAGAAACUGAGAGUCAGUCAACUUGAAACCCCCGUAGACACUGCAAUGACACGUCGGGAAUCUCCCUAAUGGGGCCCCCUUACUAGCCGGCAUCGACGUGCUGUCCCGGUCAAACACACACAGGAGAAAAUGAAGCGAACAUAUCUCUGUGGGCACAUGCAAAGAAAAACAAAACAACAAGAGGAUGAAAUGAAAAAAAGGUGACAGUGGUAAGUGGGAAUGUGUAAGCUAUAUGUGUUACAUUAUAAAAAGGUAGUGCUGCCAGACAGCCUGCCACUUUAUCCCAAACUCCCAGUCAUCCACCAAGCACCAAAAAAGUUUACUGCACAUUAAAGUCCGUGUAAAGUGAAUUCAGCUAUUUUCUUCUAAACACAUUCAUAGCCACACAAUAAGUUAGUCCUUUGCUGCCAAUGCCAAUUAUAUUUUCUCCCAGAAUAAAGCAUCUGUUGUCAAAUGUUAAAACUGAUACCAGCAUCAGUUCUGCUGUUUUUAAAAUGUGAGCUGCUGGACAACUGAAUUUCCCUUCAGGCAUAAAUAAAGUAUAUCCUAUCCUAUAUAUCCAUACAUUUUCUGCUAUAGCCUAAAUGUUACAUUAAAUAAAAUGUUAACAUGAAGCAUUAAACUUGUUACUGCAAAUGGAUGUUCAUUAAUUAUUCCAUACAGAUCUCAAAUGUUGUGUUUGUGUAGCAUGCACAGUUCUUUACUUUAUGCAAGCCAACCAAAUACAUUGUGCUCUUUUCUUUUUUCUUCCUCAAGGUGCUUUGUUGAAGUUUUUUGGCCCACAACAACAACAACAACAACAACAACAACAGCAGCAGCAGCAGCUGCUGCUGCAACAGCUGACCUCUACACAUAAAACAAUAUCAACCUCAGAUCAUGAGGGGAGAAUUGGAGAUCAAUUCUGCUGUCUACACUUUUCCAGACCACGCCUCCACCUGUCCAAAUGACAUAUUAAACUACAUUUACAGUGAAAACCUUCUGGAUCUGUACAGUAAUCUAAGCUUUGCAUUGUGUCUCCUCUUGACUCGUUGUCUCUGGUGAGAGGAGCUUUUCUGCUUUGAAGUUGAAACCCUAUUUGAGGUCAACCAUGUGCCAGGAGAGGCUCACAGGACUGGCACUGAUUUCAAUAGAAAGAGAUGUUCAGAGGUCCUUAGAUAUGGAAGACAUAGUGGCUGCAUUUGCAGAAGCCAGGGCCCACAAGCAGCAGUUUUAAGAAAAAAAAGACACUACUAUUGGACUGUGGAUAUAGGACCAAGGUGUCACAGCAAGUCUUAAGUUCUUCCUUUCCACUUCAAUUCCUCGUUUUUUUGUUUUCUUGCUUGGUUGCGUUUUUAUCAUUCUGAAAAUUUUGCACAUUUCAGUUAUGUUUGUUUUUCUGUUAUUUAUAUAUUGUAUGUAAAGUUUGCAUUCAGAUAGUUAUGUUAUUUAUUAUUUAUUUUAUAUAUUAAUUGUUUAAUAAAAGAUCUCUUUACUGA